rnacentral:rRNA from 1 species
AGGCUUGUCGCGCCCGAUAGUCCGUAUUGACGGCGCGGUUUGGUACAUCGCUGUCGGCUCUUCCUAACCUGGUGGUGUAUAAGCCACCAAGGGUGUCGGAGUUCACGCAUUAAAAGGGAUCGUUAGCUGGGUUAAGAACGUCAAAUUAAAAACCAGCAGAUCUGUGUGAAUAUAGAGUUAACAUGAACACGGCGUUGCAUACGAGUAAUUGUAUGAAAAAUAAAAUCGACUCAUAUCGGUGAAACCUAAAAUUUCUUUGUCCUUGUUUGAUUAAAACAAAGGGUUAAAAACAAAGAAAAUAUGGUAAUACCGAGGGAAGAUGAGAUUUAUGGAUUCAACAACACUUGCAUAUAUUGCAGGAUUUCUUGAUGGUGAUGGAAGUAUUUUCUUUCAGAUAAUUCCAAGAAAAGACUACAAUCAAAAAUUUCAAAUUAGAACUAGCAUUUCAUUUUAUCAAAAAUCGAGUAAUGCAGAAAUUUUAGAAUGGUUAAAAGAAUUAUUUGGAUCAGGAUAUAUCCGCCAUAGAAAUACAGGAAUCAGCGAUUAUACAAUUGUUGAAUCAAAGGAAGUUAAAAAAAUAUUAGAACUUCUAAAACCAUAUGUAAGAUUAAAGAAAAAACAAGUUGAUCUUGGAUUAGAGAUAAUUAAUAAACUUGAAAAUAAAAAAUCUGAUAGAGAUUUUUUAGAGAUUUGUCAAUUAGUUGAUAAAUUUAAAGAACUUAAUUAUUCUAAGAAAAGAAAAAUAACUUCUAUGGUUGUAAUUAAAUCUUUAUCCCCGUAGAGACUGAGGCUUUAGGCCGAGAGUCAUACUGAUUAAACAGUCAUGGCUAAGACGUCGAUCUCCUAUUGCAAGAAUAGGAUGAUGGUAUAGUCCAUACCACUUAGAAACUAUGAUAAUAGUUUCAAGGCAGAAAAUGAGAUUUUCUGUUUCGAAAGAUUGGAUAAAUAUACGUGAGACAGUUUGUAUGAUAUCUGCUAGGUGUGUUGUUGUUUGAGUGGAACGAGUAUCUAGUACGAGAGGAACGGUACUUGGAUGCCUCUGGUCAGCAGUUCUCAUGUGGGAGGCUGCGCAGCUACGCAUUGUAUGGAUAAGUGCUGAAAGCAUCUAAGCACGAAGCCAUCCGCAAGACGAGACAACGUAGGCCCUCGUAGAAGACGAGGUUGAUAGAACUGUGGUGUACGCAC